CGGUAAUUCCAGCUCCAAUAGCGUAUACUAAGGUUGUUGCAGUUAAAAAGCUCGUAGUUGGAUUUCUGCGGGGACGGAGCGGCCGGUCGCAACUUGCGACUCGAGCUAGCGCUUUCCCCGCAUCCUGCCGCGAACCGUGCUACCAUUAGUUUGGUGGCGCUGGGGAUCGGCUCGAUUACUUUGAGAAAAAUAGAGUGUUCAAAGCAGGCCACACGCCUUGAAUAAGUUAGCAUGGAAUAAUGACUAAGGACUUUGGUUCUUUUCGUUGGUGUUCGGGACUGAAGUAAUGAUUGAUAGGGACAGUUGGGGCGGUCCGUAUUCCAAAGCGAGAGGUGAAAUUCUUAGACCUUCGGAAGACGAACAGCUGCGAAAGCGUUCCGCAAGGAUGUUCCCUUUGGUCAAGAACGAAAGUUGGGGGAUCGAAGACGAUCAGAUACCGUCGUAGUCUCAACUAUAAACUAUACCAGCUAGGGAUCGGCCAACGUUUAAUUUAUCGACUUGGUCGGCACCUUAUGAGAAAUCAAAGCAUCUGGGUUCCGGGGGGAGUAUGGCCGCAAGGCUGAAACUUAAAGGAAUUGACGGAAGGGCACCACCAGCCGUGGAGCCUGUGGCUUAAUUUGACUCAACACGGGAAAACUUACCAGGUCCAGACAUAGGAAGGAUUGACAGAUUGAUAGCUCUUUCUUGAUUCUGUGGGUGGUGGUGCAUGGCCGUUUUUAGUCGGUGGAUGUGAUCUGUCUGCUUAAUUGCGUUAACGGACGAGACCCCAGCCUGCUAAAUAGCGCGGCCGAGCUUUGCUCGGUGCGAGCUUCUUAGAGGGACCAUGAUGCGCGAUAGCACAAGGAAGUUUGGGGCAACAACAGGUCUGUGAUGCCCUUAGAUGUUCUGGGCCGCACACGGGCUACACUGGCGCCUGCAACGAGCAUAUCAGCUGGCCCGAGAGGGUCUUGGCUAAUCUUUGGAACCGGCGCCGUGCUUGGGAUUGACCAUUGCAAUUGUUGGUCAUGCAACGAGGAAUGCCUUGUAAACGCGAGUCAUCAGCUCGCAUUGAAUACGUCCCUGCCCUUUGUACACACCGCCCGUCGCUCCUACCGAUGAAUGUUCCGAUGAAAUUUUCGGAGAGCACCAGAGAACGGGGCUCCGCCUUGCAGAUCUGGAGGCUCAAAGUCACUUAAAUCUGAACAUUUCGAGGAAGGAGAAGUCGUAACAAGGUAACC
rnacentral:rRNA from 1 species